rnacentral:rRNA from 1 species
CCUACGGGGGGCUGCAGUGGGGGAUAUUGCACAAUGGGGGGAACCCUGAUGCAGCGACGCCGCGUGGGUGAAGAAGCGCCUCGGCGCGUAAAGCCCUGUCAGCAGGGAAGAAAAUGACGGUACCUGAAGAAGAAGCCCCGGCCAAAUACGUGCCAGCAGCCGCGGUAAUACGGCGGGCGCAAGCGUUAUCCGGAUUUACUGGGUGUAAAGGGGGCGCAGACGGGGAUGCAAGCCAGGAGUGAAAGCCCGGGGCCCAACCCCGGGACUGCUCUUGGAACUGCGUGGCUGGAGUGCAGGAGGGGCAGGCGGAAUUCCUGGUGUAGCGGUGAAAUGCGUAGAUAUCAGGAGGAACACCAGUGGCGAAGGCGGCUGUCUGGUCUGUAACUGACGCUGAGGUUCGAAAGCGUGGGUAGCAAACAGGAUUAGAUACCCUGGUAGUC